GGGGUUGUGGCUCAGUGGUAGAGCACUUGCCUUGCACUCAUGAGGCACUGGGUUCAAUCCUCAGUACCACCU
rnacentral:tRNA from 1 species